GAACGGUAACAGGGAGAAGCUUGCUUUUCCGCUGACGAGUGGCGCACGGGUGCGUAACGCGUAUACAAUCUACCUUUUGCUGUGGGAUAGCCCAGGGAAACUUGGAUUAAUACCGCAUAGUAUAUAAGAUCGGCAUCGUUUUUAUAUUAAAGGUUACGGCAAAAGAUGAGUAUGCGUCCUAUUAGCUAGAUGGUGUGGUAACGGCACACCAUGGCGACGAUAGGUAGGGGCCCUGAGAGGGGGAUCCCCCACACUGGUACUGAGACACGGACCAGACUCCUACGGGAGGCAGCAGUGAGGAAUAUUGGGCAAUGGAGGCAACUCUGACCCAGCCAUGCCGCGUGCAGGAAGACUGCCCUAUGGGUUGUAAACUGCUUUUAUACGGGAAGAAACACCGCUACGUGUAGCGGCUUGACGGUACCGUAAGAAUAAGGAUCGGCUAACUCCGUGCCAGCAGCCGCGGUAAUACGGAGGAUCCAAGCGUUAUCCGGAAUCAUUGGGUUUAAAGGGUCCGUAGGUGGAUAAUUAAGUCAGAGGUGAAAUCCUGCAGCUCAACUGUAGAAUUGCCUUUGAUACUGGUUGUCUUGAGUCAUUGUGAAGUAGUUAGAAUAUGUAGUGUAGCGGUGAAAUGCAUAGAUAUUACAUAGAAUACCGAUUGCGAAGGCAGAUUACUAACAAUGUACUG
rnacentral:rRNA from 1 species